rnacentral:rRNA from 1 species
AGUUCGAUCAUAUCAGAUUGAACGUUGGCGGGAUGCUUUACACAUGCAAGUCGAACGGCAGCACGGACUUCCGGUCUGGUAUGAGUGGCGAACGGGUGAGUAAUGUAUCGGAACGUGCCUAGUAGCGGGGGAUAACUACGCGAAAGCGUAGCUAAUACUGCAUACGCCCUUCGGGGAAAGCGGGGACCUUCGGGCCUCGCACUAUUAGAACGGCCGAUAUCGGAUUGAAGAAGUUGGUGGUAACGGCUCACCAAGGCGAUGAUCCGUAGCUGGUUUGAGAGGACGACCAGCCACACUGGGACUGGAGACACGGCCCAGACUCCUACGGGAGGCAGCAGUGGGGAAUUUUUGGACACACUUGGGAAACCCUGAUCCAGCCAUCCCGCGUGCGAUGAAGGCCUUCGGGUUGUAAAGCACUUUGGCAGUGGAAAGAAACGGCACGGGAUAAUAACCGCAAAUCUAUUUGCAGCCUGCAGAAUAAGCACCGGCUAACUACGUGCCAGCAGCCGCGGUAAUACGUAGGGGCAAGCGUUAAUCGGAAUUACUGGGCGUAAGCGUGCGCAGGCGGCUGGAAAGAAAGAUGAAACCCGGUGAGCUAACUUGGAACUGCAUUUUUAACUACCGAGCUAGAGUGUGUCAGAGGGAGGUGGAAUUCCGCGUGCAGUGAAAUGCGUAGACAUGCGGAGGAACACCGAUGGCGAAGCGGCAGCCUCCUGGGAUAACACUGACGCUCGAGUGCACGAAAGCGUGGGGAGCAAACAGGAUUAGAUACCCUGUAGUCCACGCCCUAAACGAUGUCAACUAGCUGCUUAGGGGCCUUCGGGCCUGGCAGCAGGCUAACGCGGUGAAGUUGACCGCCUGGGAGGCGUCGCAAGAUUAAAACUCAAAGGAAUUGACGGGACCCGCACAAGCGGUGGAUGAUGAUUUCCUUCUUUCUUCUUCUUCACCCGAUGCAACGCGAAAACCUUACCUACCCUUGACAUGUCUGGAAUCCCGAAGAGAUUUGGGAGUGCUCGCAAGAGAACCGGAACACAGGUGCUUUCGCAUGGCUGUCGUCAGCUCGUGUCAAUGUGAGAUGUUGGGUUAAGUCCCGCAACGAGCGCAACCCUUGUCAUUAGUUGCUACGAAAGCGGCACUCUAAUGAGAUCGCCGAGACAAACCGGAGGAAGGUGGGGAUGACGUCAAGUCCUCAUGGCCCUUAUGGGUAGGGCUUCACACGUCAUACAAUGGUCGGGACAGAGGGUCGCUAACCCGCGAGGGGGAGCCAAUCCCAGAAACCCGAUUUGUAGUCCGAUCGCAGUCUGCAACUCGACUGCGUGAAGUCGGAAUCGCUAGUAAUCGCGGAUCAGCAUGUCGCGGUGAAUACGUUCCCGGGUCUUGUACACACCGCCCGUCACACCAUGGGAGUGGGUUUUACCAGAAGUAGCAGCUUAACCGCAGGAGGGCGAUUACCACGGUAGGAUUCAUGACUGGGGUGAAGUCGUAACAAGGUG